GAUCCUGGCUCAGAUUGAACGCUGGCGGCAGGCCUAACACAUGCAAGUCGAGCGGAUGAAGAGAGCUUGCUCUCUGAUUCAGCGGCGGACGGGUGAGUAAUGCCUAGGAAUCUGCCUGAUAGUGGGGGACAACGUUUCGAAAGGAACGCUAAUACCGCAUACGUCCUACGGGAGAAAGCAGGGGACCUCGGCCGUCGUCGCUAUCAGAUGAGCCUACGGUCGGGAGUUAAGUCUAGUU
rnacentral:rRNA from 1 species